rnacentral:rRNA from 1 species
UACAUGGGGUGCAAACGUUGCUCGGAAUUAUUGGGCGUAAAGCGCACGUAGGCGGUUUGUUAAGUCGGAUGUGAAAUCCCUCGGCUCAACUGAGGAAGUGCAUCCGAAACUGGCAGGCUUGAGUACUAAAGAGGGUCGCGGAAUUCCCGGUGUAGAGGUGAAAUUCGUAGAUAUUAGGAAGAACACCAGUGGCGAAGGCGGCUCACUGGUCCGGUACUGACGCUGAGGUGCGAAAGCGUGGGGGAGCAAACAGGG